ensembl:lncRNA
UUUUUUUUUUUGGGGGGGGGGUCUGGGAGCGUAUGCAAUCCCCUGGUGGGAUGGGGCCGGAUUUAGGGUUUGCAAAGAACAAAGGAUUGGGGGUGUGGAGGCAGUGGAAAAAUACUGGCAGGGCGGUUGUAGGGCUGGGGGGCACCGUGCCUGUAGCAUCGCACUGCGCUGGGGGCUGUAGGGUGCACCCGUCCCUAUAGGAGGGAGAGAGGGGACUGAUCCCCCCCCCAUCUCCAGUCAUUGUACCGCAGCGUUGGGAGUACAGAGGGAAUGCAGGAUUUGGGAUGCCUGGAGUGCGGCAUGGGGUGGGAGGAGAAGAGCGUGUGCGUGUGUGCAUGGGCAUGAGGGUGCUAUGCGGGGACUGCGGGGUGGGUUUAGGAGUGCUUGUCCUCGUAAUGGGACUUUAGAAGGGCAGUGGGGGGGCACGGCGGGCAGAUGAGCAAUGCUGGGGGCUGGUGUUGCUUUCUGCCUGUUCUGGGGGUAGAAGUGCACGGUCCACUCGUGGCUCUGCUUGCACCCCUGUGCUGUGGCUGUGGACGGGGAUGUGGGGGCUCGGGGGGGUGGGCUGCAGGGGGCCUGCAGGAAGGCGUUCUAUUCCCAUACUGUCUGCUGCAUGACCGUUUCCUCGCCAAAGGAAACACUGACGGUGCUGCUCCACCAGCCAAAAUCUGUGUGGCUGCCGUGCCCCCCAGCUGCCCCCACUGCUGGGGCCAGGCAGAUGGGAGCCCUGCACUGAGGCUGUUGCCAGACUACAGCUCUUGGCGUGCCCCAUACCCAAUAUACCGCUGCCACAGAGACCCCAAGGCUUCACCUUGGCUUUCCUUCAGCCUGAUUCCAGCGGGGUUGAGGACAGAGGGACGCUUUGGCUUUGUCACGAGGCUCCUUGCCAGCCCCAGCUCUGAACAUACCAGCCAGUAAUUACCACAGCCUUCCAGUCCUUAAUCUGCUGAGAGCACCCUGGCACGAUUGGGUCCCUCCCUGAGCCUGGCAACAGUGCUCCUGUCACACGUCUCCUGCGUCAGAGCCCAGUAAACUCCCACCCGUGGCGCCUCCAGGAACGGGAACGGGGAUCUCAUUUGGGGGCUGGGAUUGAGGUCUCACCUCUCACCCCUGGGUGUCCCAGUCCCCGCACCGAGACUGGUGGGGCUCCAGCUGGGUGAAAGCACUAAAUCCAGACUAUUUUCCCUAUGGCUGCCCCAAAAGGUUUCUACCUGCAGUGCACAGCUUCCACCGGGGUCGCAGGUCCCUCUCCACCGAGCAGGGGCGGCUCCGGCUGCCGGUGCCAAGUCCCCACUGGCUCCAUUCCCAGCCUCUCCCCAUCCCGUCACCCUGCUCUGGCUCGCUGAAGAACCUGUUCCAUAGCUCCUGCCACGAGUGGAAAUUAUGGGCUGUAUUUGGAGCAGUGCUUUUCACCCAUUGCGGAGGGACCGCUUCAUCCGCACAUCUGCAGCCAGCUCCAGGGAGGGAUGUUUGGGACCCCGUGGGACCCUCUGGGGACCUCACGUCACCGUUGUUGGAUAUCUGGCAGCAUCCCUCGCUCCGUCCAUCCCAGCACACAGCAGCAAGCACAAAGUAAAGUUAUCGGUGUGCCACACUAAGCCACUGCUGUCACGAGGCAGGAGCUGAUGUGGAACUUCAGGGUGACCCCAGCAAUGUCCCUGUCCCUGCCUGGCGGGACGCAGUGGGCUGUGAAACGUCUGCCAGCACCAAUGGCCAUAAAAGGUCCUGAAACAGAGAGCCCGGGCGGGAUCAUCCGGGAUGUGGGAAUGGGGCCCGGAGCAGGAUGGGGCGGUGGCACACAGUGUCCCUUCCCUGCUGCCCAUUUGGGAUCUGCAUCACCUCCCACGCGGGGCUCAGGGGGACAAUGCCACCCAUUCAUUGGGGCACCUGGGUGGUGGGAGCGAGGGGCACGCAGCGAGUUCCCCCCGACCCCACAGCCUCACCCCACAGACAAUGGCUGCCCUUUGUUGGGGUUUUCUGUGUCCGGCCCCCACCCUGCCACCCAGCUGGUGACAUUUACCACCUCCACGUUCACAAGGGGACUCAAAGGUCUUAAGAUGUGCUGUGGAAUCAUGAAGCACGGCUGGCCCCCUCUGUGCACUCUAUUUGGGGUCCACUGGUGGGGAAUGAGGGAUGAAGAUGAAAUGGGGACCCUUUCCAGUUUGGUGACAUUUGACCUUUUUGAGAUGGAUCCACUGCUGCCCUGGGGGUACCUCACUGUGACUGCAACAGCACGGAGUGCCAGCCCCUGUGGGGUAUGCCAUGUCUUCCAUCCCACCAGAAAGGUCCCUGCACCCAGCUCCUGCCCCCUCCCAGACCCCCAGGGCAGUUCCCCCAGGAGCCGGGCAAGCAGCCCUGUUCCUCCUGGCCACCUCCAUGGGGUCCUUGGAAACACAAACCCAUAAUAAGCAGGCAGCCUGAGAGCUUAGAGGGAAAUGAAUGCUUUAGGGUAAUUCAUAGGGUGUGUGGGGUCAUGAAAAUGAGCACAGCCGUGCACGGAGGUGGGUGCCUGCAGUACGCCGGGGCGGCUGAUCUGGAGCUGGAGUCCUGCGGGGUGCAGAUGCUGCUCUGCCCUCUGGCUUCAGUGCAGGCUUGGGGACACCCAGGGAAGGUGACACAGGGCACAAAGCCUGGGGGGUGCGAGGACACGGGGUGCACUUUGAAAUGGGAUGCACAUUACGUAGGAUGCAGAGUGCGCAUUACGUGGGAUAGGGGGUGCUCGCGUUAGGGAGGAUGAAGAGUGCAGCCCACCUCCCCCCUCUCCCCCGUGCUGCUCACGUUUCCCCACCCACCCCCUGCAGUUGGCUGACGCGGGCUGACGUCCCUAUAUUAUGCUGAUUUAUGCGAGUUAACCCUUUCCUCGCCGUACGAGGGGGCUCCGUUGCUGGGAGGGGGGGGGAUGGUCCCGGGACCCCGCCCGGGGCUGUCAUUGCCUCCCCACAACCCCCCCCACCCCUCCCCGCGGGUUUCCAUGAGAACAGGACCGGGAUGAUGUCAGCGGUUGCUACGCGACAGCGUGAGGUCACUGUCGCCAUGGCGACUGGAUGGGGG